CGAGGGUAGGACAGGAGCGGCACAGCCGCCACUGGAACUUUGUCGACAACAUUCUGUGUGUGUUUGCGUCAGAAACCAAUUUUACACAGAAUUGAUAUUAACCAGCCUGGAACUGUGUAAUGACACUGCCAGAGUUGAUCUCUGUAUGAUGCUGCACAUACAGACUGCAGGCACCUUGACCACUUCAAAUCACUGAAGUGGUUAUGGUACUUGGAGUAACCCGUUAAUAUUAAAGUUUACUAUGGGCUGAAAAAUGGUGGCAUGAAUUAGGAUAAUGACAGAACUGGC